AUCGUUUCUUGGCCUUUUGGCUAAGAUCAAGUGUA
rnacentral:snRNA from 1 species